CUGCAGUAUAAGUGCCUGCCUAACAAGCGUGAGGUUGUGAGUUCAAUCCCCAGUACAAAAAAAAAAAAAAAAUAGAUGUUAAGAAUAAACACGGAAGUCCUGAUAGUGUUAGGACAAUGGUGAUUUAUAGGAAAACACAAAAAGCAUGUGGUCAUGUGUGACAGCGGUCAAAUUCCAACUACUCCAGUGUAAAUGAGGCUCACAGAUGGAUUUCUAACAAGUAGAGACAGAGGAGACAGCAUGUGAUUUGUGAGACUGGGUCACAGAAGGCAGUCAGUCUCCCCUUGGCCUGCUCCCCGGGUCACUUGCUCCAGACUGAGCCUGUAGCUACGAAGAGACUCAAGCAGAGCAGCGGAGGCCCACAGGAAGGAAGUAAGCCACCAGCCACAGCCACAAGCGAACUCAGAAGCUCAUCCCCCACCCCCAGGCAGAGCUCCCAAUGACUCCUGCCGCCGCUAGUUCCCCACAGUUCUAUCAUUUGGUUCCCUGACCAGGAACAGCAGACGAGAGACUCCUGGGCCCUCCCAGUUUGAGUCCCCUGCCGUUCAGGACCAGGACCGGACUGCAUCCUGCAUUAAUUCCUCACUUCUACACUCGGGAGCUGUAAACUUGUCACUGCUGGUUCGCAAAAAACACCGACCCGAUUUACCACAGUUCUGAGACAGGUAAACCAACACAAGGUGGAGCUUCCUGGGGUCCCCCCGCCAUGGACCAUGCCUCAAAUGCAGCAAAAGACAUUGGGCAAGAGAGUACACCAUCCUGGCGUUCUUUGAGACCUUACUCCAGGGCUAUUGGACUGUCCUAGCCACCAGAGAGUGGUCUAACAUACAUGUAUUCACCAGUGAAGUUGUCCUGGCUAAAACACCUGGCACCAGCUUCUACAUGGGCAUCAACUGUCAUCUCGUCGACUCCCCUAGACCCCAGUAAAGCUCCGUCUUCCAGUUAAAGAGAGAAAUCUUCACCCCUUUUCAUAAUAAUAAUCAUAAGACGGGAUAUGAAAGAGUUUUGGCCCAGACAGGACACUGUAGUUGGUAAAGCCUCAGGUGGAACCAAGGAGCUCCAUCUCCCCCACCCCUAGGAAUUUACCUAUGGCACCAAAAGAAUACCAAUGGGCUAUGUGCAUCACUGAUGCCCUUAGGUUCCACCCCAAAUCUAGGCUACUUAUAUGCCUCCACUCCCUGUGUUCCACGGAGAGAUCACCGACCCUGGGGUGGAGAUGCCACGCUCCAUGGGGUUGGGGGUAUCUCUCCCCACAUUCUCAAAAUAAAGGUCAUUUAUAUUUCA